rnacentral:rRNA from 1 species
AGUGAACGCUGGCGGUAGGCCUAACACAUGCAAGUCGAACGAGUGGCGGACGGGUGAGUAAUACAUCGGAAUCUACUCUGUCGUGGGGGAUAACGUAGGGAAACUUAAGCUAAUACCGCAUACGAUUGGAUGAGCCGAUGUGGGAUUAGCUAGUUGGCGUGGUAAAGGCCCACCAAGGCGACGAUCCGUAGCUGGUCUGAGAGGAUGAUCAUCAACAAUGGAACUUAGUCACGGUCCAGACUCCUACGGGAGGCAGCAGGGGGGAAUAUUGUACAAUGGGCGAAAGCCUGAUGCAGCCAUACCGCGUGUGUGAAGAAGGCCUUCGGGUUGUAAAGCCCUUUUGUUGGGAAAGCGGUACCCAAAGAAUAAGCACCGGCUAACUCCGUGCCAGCAGCCGCGGUAAUAC